AAUGGGGGAAACCCUGAUGCAGCGACGCCGCGUGAGUGAAGAAGUAUUUCGGUAUGUAAAGCUCUAUCAGCAGGGAAGAAAUACUGACCAUAGGGUCAGCAGACGGUACUUGACUAAGAAGCCCCGGCUAACUACGUGCCAGCAGCCGCGGUAAUACGUAGGGGGCAAGCGUUAUCCGGAUUUACUGGGUGUAAAGGGAGCGUAGACGGCAGCGCAAGUCUGAAGUGAAAUGCCAGGGCUUAACCCUGGAACUGCUUUGGAAACUGUGCAGCUAGAGUGCAGGAGAGGUAAGUGGAAUUUCUAGUGUAGCGGUGAAAUGCGUAGAUAUUAGGAGGAACACCAGUGGCGAAGGCGGCUUACUGGACUGUAACUGACGUUGAGGCUCGAAAGCGUGGGGAGCAAACAGGAUUAGAUACCCUGGUAGUCCACGCUGUAAACGAUGAUUACUAGGUGUUGGGGGACCAAGGUUCUUCG
rnacentral:rRNA from 1 species